rnacentral:tRNA from 1 species
GGCCUUGUAGUGUAGCGGUCUUAUCACUUGAGAUUCUGAUUCUCAAAACCCAGGUUCGAGUCCUGGCAAGGCCU